AAGUCGUAACAAGGUUUCCGUAGGUGAACGGUUUGCCUGCUGGAUGUCUUGGCAGCGACUAUAAAAAUGCAUUAGUCGCCCCCUAUGGGGCAGGCAACGCUAUUAGUCUGCGCUGGGAACCCCCGAACAAGGGGGCCAACCGGCAGCUCCGCGAGUACUCCGGAGUUCACAGAUCAAACGAUAGUGGCCGCGUUGACGGUUGAGAUAUGAUCGGCCCUGGCUGUUAUCAGCUAGGGGGUUUGCGGAACCUGCGGAAGGAUCAUUACUGAGAGAGGGGGCUUCGCGCUCCCGGGGGUCUCGGCCCCCAACUCUUCACCCAUUGUGUACACUACCUUUGUUGCUUUGGCGGGCCCCCGAGGACUUCUCGCGCUGCCUACAGGGCGGCGAGCGCCCGCCAGAGGCCCAUCAAAAUCUGUUUAUCAAUGGUGUCCGGGCGAAAACACAAUAAUCAAAC
rnacentral:misc_RNA from 1 species